GUAACUGUUCAUACGUUGACGGUAUUUAACCAGAAAGUCACGGCUAAUUACGUGCCAGCAGCCGCGGUAAUACGUAGGUGGCAAGCGUUAUCCGGAUUUAUUGGGCGUAAAGAGAGUGCAGGCGGUUUUCUAAGUCUGAUGUGAAAGCCUUCGGCUUAACCGGAGAAGUGCAUCGGAAACUGGAUAACUUGAGUGCAGAAGAGGGUAGUGGAACUCCAUGUGUAGCGGUGGAAUGCGUAGAUAUAUGGAAGAACACCAGUGGCGAAGGCGGCUACCUGGUCUGCAACUGACGCUGAGACUCGAAAGCAUGGGUAGCGAACAGGAUUAGAUACCCUGGUAGUCCAUGCCGUAAACGAUGAGUGCUAGGUGUUGGAGGGUUUCCGCCCUUCAGUGCCGGAGCUAACGCAUUAAGCACUCCGCCUGGGGAGUACGACCGCAAGGUUGAAACUCAAAGGAAUUGACGGGGGCCCGCACAAGCGGUGGAGCAUGUGGUUUAAUUCGAAGCUACGCGAAGAACCUUACCAGGUCUUGACAUCUUGCGCCAACCCUAGAGAUAGGGCGUUUCCUUCGGGAACGCAAUGACAGGUGGUGCAUGGUCGUCGUCAGCUCGUGUCGUGAGAUGUUGGGUUAAGUCCCGCAACGAGCGCAACCCUUGUUACUAGUUGCCAGCAUUAAGUUGGGCACUCUAGUGAGACUGCCGGUGACAAACCGGAGGAAGGUGGGGACGACGUCAGAUCAUCAUGCCCCUUAUGACCUGGGCUACACACGUGCUACAAUGGACGGUACAACGAGUCGCGAACUCGCGAGGGCAAGCAAAUCUCUUAAAACCGUUCUCAGUUCGGACUGCAGGCUGCAACUCGCCUGCACGAAGUCGGAAUCGCUAGUAAUCGCGGAUCAGCAUGCCGCGGUGAAUACGUUCCCGGGCCUUGUACACACCGCCCGUCACACCAUGAGAGUUUGU
rnacentral:rRNA from 2 species